AGUGAACGCUGGCGGUAGGCCUAACACAUGCAAGUCGAACGGCAGCACAGUAAGAGCUUGCUCUUACGGGUGGCGAGUGGCGGACGGGUGAGGAAUACAUCGGAAUCUACUUUUUCGUGGGGGAUAACGUAGGGAAACUUACGCUAAUACCGCAUACGACCUACGGGUGAAAGCAGGGGAUCUUCGGACCUUGCGCGAUUGAAUGAGCCGAUGUCGGAUUAGCUAGUUGGCGGGGUAAAGGCCCACCAAGGCGACGAUCCGUAGCUGGUGUGAGAGGAUGAUCAGCCACACUGGAACUGAGACACGGUCCAGACUCCUACGGGAGGCAGCAGUGGGGAAUAUUGGGCAAUGGGCGCAAGCCUGAUCCAGCCAUACCGCGUGGGUGAAGAAGGCCUUCGGGUUGUAAAGCCCUUUUGUUGGGAAAGAAAAGCAGCAGGUUAAUACCCCGCUGUUCUGACGGUACCCAAAGAAUAAGCACCGGCUAACUUCGUG
rnacentral:rRNA from 1 species